GUGGAUUAGAUACCCCAGUAGUCCACGCUGUAAACGAUGACGACUAGGUGUGGGGGGGUUCAGUCCCCUCCGUGCCGCAGCUAACGCAUUAAGUCGUCCGCCUGGGGAGUACGGCCGCAAGGUUGAAACUCAAAGGAAUUGACGGGGGCCCGCACAAGCGGUGGAGCAUGUGGUUCAAUUCGAUGCAGAGCGAAGAACCUUACCUGGGCUUGACAUGUAGGAAGUAGAAACCGGAAACGGGGACGACCUGUUGAGUCAGGAGCCUACACAGGUGGUGCACGGCCGUCGCCAACU
rnacentral:rRNA from 1 species